UGUCCUCCAUCGGAGGUCUAUAUUGAGCAGAUUCUUUUUGGUGUUGGGUGGUGGAACCGGAGCUUGCUCCAUCCACUCCAUGCAUUGACCUGGUAUAGCACUGCUUCCAGGACCGGUGC
rnacentral:snRNA from 1 species